UCUAGUCUUUGUGAUGGGUCAGUUUGAUGGUUUGCCGCGGGGGCACUUUGUUCUGUUCAAGUCCUGUUUAGUUGGUUGUUAAACCAUAUAUCACUUAAAUAUGCAAACAUGCUACUUAAGCAAAAAAAAAAAGAGACUACUUUGUGUUAUUUCAUCAAUUACUUCAUUGCAUUGUCUGUUAGUUUAGAAAGUGGAAAACUACAUUGCGCCAUUUUACAACUCCCUUCUUUUGUGGUGUUCUCUAAUUGCCUUCCAAUUUCCUAAUGCUAGCCCAGUGCUGUUAUUUACUCCCUCCGUCCCAUAAUAUAAGAGUGUUUUGACACUACACUACACUAGUGUCAAAAAUGCUCUUAUAUUAUGGGACGGAAGGAGUAGCUUGCAAUGCUGGUGGUCCUCGCCAUGGAGAAAUAAGGAACCUGAAAGAGCUGAACAAUGUUUAAUCUCUUCAUAUGUAAACAUGGAUAUUGUAAGUUGUUCCCCUCAUGUAUGAAGACAUUUCAUGUGGCUAAUGCCAGUAGCCCAAUAGACUGUCACUAUCUCAACUUAGAUAUUUCAGAUAUUUUUAGUAACCACACUAUUCUGUAAGUACUUAAUCACGACAGUUCCUCAUGGUGCAAUGUUACUGAGAUGUUUUCUUGGUGUUUCACCCAACAAUUAAUUUAUUGAACCUGUUAAGAAAAUAUUUAUACGGCUUAACUGAACUCUAGGUAAAGUACCCUUAGGUGCGUAUAUUGUUCCAUGAUUGAAGGAAGUUAAACAACCAAAUGUGCUCAUGCAAUUGCUAUUCCUUUGGAGUCAUCAGCAAAUGUUCAGAGUUCAGACUAAAUUUGAUAUGUCUUUUAGUUCUACUCGAAAAGAUGAAUAAGAUACCCAGUCCAUUCAAGGAACUGCAAAUCGAAAACAUACGUCGAGUGGACACACAAAUAUCUUAGUUGCAGUCAAAAUCAGGGGCAUCAGGCUCACAAUUUUCUCCUUUUUCAGUAGUCAAAAGUGAAAGGGCAUGUUACACCUAUUUUGUCCAUAGGUGUACUUGUUCUCGUAGAAAAAAGCUUGGGCAUGUUGUAUGUGCAAAUAUGAAAUAUGUAACAUUGUCCCCGCUUAAUUUGUUGCAGAAUAGACGAGCAGAUGCAAGGAUAUGAUGCAUGGAGGGCGUUGGCUAACCACAGUCGUGUUGGUAUCGAUUUGCUAUGUUGUCUCAAGAUGCCCCUGCCCCUUGUGUUAAGGGUAGAUAUGCGAUGAACCCACUGGUAAACUACCUGAUCCUCAAGUUCUGGGAGGAGUCUACUCCUCUUGCGCAUCAGUGUGAUGAGUUUUCGUGAGCUCAUGGGGGACCAAGGCGAGGUUGGCCUCCUGGAGUUCUUCCGGAGCGGGCGGGCGCAUCUGUUUCCAUGGCCAAUAAUCCAUGGAAACAAGGCAAGGAAAUCCUGGAAAAUGGUUGUCCGUGGGAGUACCGGCCCUGCAGGGGGUGAAGUUUGCAACUUGAAACACGGGGCAGAUGUCUCUUUCGAUGGUCAGCUGAGCUUUGUUUCUGCGGAGAAGUGGAUUGAUUGUAUUCUGAUGCAAGCUGCGGUGUCUGUCUGACUCUGUUGCUGGCCGUUCCCUUGCGAUGGUCUGUCAAAUUUGAGGCCUAAUCAGCUUGCCGUGUAACCUGCGUUAUCAGUUUCCCUGUCCAUCUACGGUCCUUGAACAACUUCAUUUGCGGCAACAUGUUUCAUUGCUUUUCCAUGUAAGAUUUGCCUGCUGUAUCUAUCAGCAAACAAACUUGAAUAAAAUUCACCACUCGCCAGCAAA